AACGAACGCUGGCGGCAUGCCUAACACAUGCAAGUCGAACGAGACCUUCGGGUCUAGUGGCGCACGGGUGCGUAACGCGUGGGAACCUGCCCUUAGGUUCGGAAUAACUCUCCGAAAGGGGUGCUAAUACCGGAUAAUGUCUUCGGACCAAAGAUUUAUCGCCUUUGGAUGGGCCGGCGUUGGAUUAGCUAGUUGGUAGGGUAAAAGCCUACCAAGGCGACGAUCCAUAGCUGGUCUGAGAGGAUGAUCAGCCACACUGGGACUGAGACACGGCCCAGACUCCUACGGGAGGCAGCAGAGGGUAAUGUUGGAAAAUGGGCGAAAGCCUGAUCCAGCUAUGCCGCGAGAGUGAUGAAAGCCUUAGAGUUGUAAAGCUCUUUUACCCGGGAUGAUAAUGACAGUACCUGGAGAAUAAGCUCCGGCUAACUCCGUG
rnacentral:rRNA from 1 species